UGCGCUCUAAGGGCACUGUUGCC
rnacentral:misc_RNA from 1 species